CACUCCUGCGGGAGGCAGCAGUGGGGAAUAUUGGACAAUGGGCGCAAGCCUGAUCCAGCCAUGCCGCGUGAGUGAUGAAGGCCCUAGGGUUGUAAAGCUCUUUCACCGGUGAAGAUAAUGACGGUAACCGGAGAAGAAGCCCCGGCUAACUUCGUGCCAGCAGCCGCGGUAAUACGAAGGGGGCUAGCGUUGUUCGGAUUUACUGGGCGUAAAGCGCACGUAGGCGGACUAUUAAGUCAGGGGUGAAAUCCCGGGGCUCAACCCCGGAACUGCCUUUGAUACUGGUAGUCUUGAGUUCGAGAGAGGUGAGUGGAAUUCCGAGUGUAGAGGUGAAAUUCGUAGAUAUUCGGAGGAACACCAGUGGCGAAGGCGGCUCACUGGCUCGAUACUGACGCUGAGGUGCGAAAGCGUGGGGAGCAAACAGGAUUAGAAACCCCUGUAGUCCCAU
rnacentral:rRNA from 1 species